rnacentral:ncRNA from 1 species
GCCGGUGCGAAACCGGCGCUGUCCCGCAACUGUGAUGUCCCGCCACCCCGGCCGAACGCCGGCCGCGGCGGGGACGAGCCAGG